GAUGAACGCUAGCGACAGGCUUAACACAUGCAAGUCGAGGGGCAGCGGGGCGGCAGGCUUGCCUGCCGUUGCCGGCGACCGGCGCACGGGUGAGUAACACGUAUGCAACCUGCCCGUGGCAGGGGGAUAAGCGGGGGAAACCCCGUCUAAUACCGCGUAACGCGGCCUAGGGACAUCCCAAGGCCGCCAAAGGGAGCAAUCCCGGCCACGGAUGGGCAUGCGGCGCAUUAGCUAGUCGGCGGGGUAACGGCCCACCGAGGCGACGAUGCGUAGGGGUUCUGAGAGGAAGGCCCCCCACACUGGUACUGAGACACGGACCAG
rnacentral:rRNA from 1 species